GCUCGUAGUUGGAUUUCGGAUGGGUUCCGUCGGUCCGCCGUUUCGGUGUGCCUGACGGCGCCUAUCUUGCUGCCGGGGACGGGCUCCUGGGCUUAACUGUCCGGGACUCGGAGUCGGCGAGGUUACUUUGAGUAAAUUAGAGUGUUCAAAGCAGGCCUACGCUCUGAAUACAUUAGCAUGGAAUAACACGAUAGGACUCUGGCCUAUCUUGUUGGUCUGUAGGACCGGAGUAAUGAUUAAGAGGGACAGUCGGGGGCAUUCGUAUUUCAUUGUCAAAGGUGAAAUUCUUGGAUUUAUGAAAGACGAACUACU
rnacentral:rRNA from 1 species